ACAGCGGCGAGGGGGAGGGGCCGCCGCCACGGGGCCGCCGCACCUGCCGCCGCCGCCGCCGCCGGGCAGGUGGCGCCGCCGCCGGGGCCGCCCCGCCGCCGGGGGACGCCCCACGGCCGCGGGCACCGCGGGGACACCGGGCACCUGCGCUGCGGCUCACGUGGCCUCCCCGAAAUGCAGGUGAAAUUACUUCUUUCAGGAAUGGUAACUUCUGCAAGCAUUGAACUUGGUCAUAACUUAUUUUUGGCACCACAACAAAAGCCACUUGAUUGUUGCAAAUGAUCCUAGUUACACUGCAAAACUGCAGCAAAACUGUUGGCUUGCCUCCAGCUUGCCUGUGCUGCCCGUAAUCAUGUCAGAAAUAAAUUCCCUGAUGAAGGCAGAAGGAUCAGCUGGAAAAGCAUCCAGACUGAAAGAGAAGAAUGAUGGGUGGAUACAGAGACUGCAAAAAGGCAGCAAGCCAGUUGAAACAGGUCUCUGUAUGAUGUUCUUAAACCAGCAUUACCUGUGUGUAGAAAAUGGAAGCAAAGACAGUUAACUGACCUUGUCAGAACACGUGUUGUCGUCGGGACCACCCCCGAUCACAAACAAUUUGCCAACGCAGCUGGUGACUGCUGGAGAGCUUACGGCUUCUUUAAGGGGAGCCACCUCCGUCCAUCGAUUGGAAAAUGAAUCAUAACACUCUACACUGCUGAGUCGGCUUUGACCAUCGUAUCCUCCAACGACAUACACCUAUGCAAAGUGGUGAAAACUAUCAUUGUUCCAUAUUUAGAGUAGCAUUACAUGUCUAUAAGAAGUUAAUUUAACGCUGCAGGAAUCCUAAUUUGCUAGGUUUUUGAAGACAUACAUCCCCUAAAGUUUCAAUAUAGAAGAAGUUAUUCACUCCAGAAACACCACAUCUCCACCAACGUUCAUUAAUGGAAUCUCUGUGGGCUGUUGAUUCCAACUGUUGGUUUUAUAUUAAAUUAUAAAUAAAUAGGCCUUCAAAAUGUAAUAAAAACCUCACAUUUUCCUUACAGUAAUGUAUUUGCUUGCUAUUUUCAAUAUAAAACACUAAGUAAAAGAGCACAGAGAUGCCACUCAGAGCAGCAGCAGUUUGUGUUAGUAACUGCAUGAAUGAAGGCAGUGACUUGUAAGUAAAGCUAGCUGAAGAUAGUUUUCUAUUAUGUGGACAAAUACUUUUGAAAGCACUUUUGAAGCACAGCCAAAUUCUGAUGCUUCUUUGCUUCCAGAAAAAUUGCUUCUUCAAGCUGGACACUUCAAUGGCAAAAAACUGACAAAGAAAUAAAUAACAGAGGGAUAAGAUGAUUUUCAUGUCUAUGAACAGACUGAUUAAGAACAUAGUUAUUUGCUUCCAAUAUUCUUUAAAAAUGUUUUUUAACAUAAUCUAAUAGGGAAGCCAUCAAAGUAACACUAAACAUUUGCAUCUGUUUUCUACAUUCUUUUCUUAUAUUUGGGGACCAUAUAAGCUAAAAUAAGUUAUAAAUAUACUUCUCUUACUUUACCAAGAAGAACAGCCAUUUUGUGACGCCAUCUGCCUUUAUUUAAGGAGGCAACUCUGAUCCAAAUGUUAAGCUGAGAGUUAUAAAUCCACACAUCCCGGCUAUUGAUUCUUCCACCUUUAAAAACAAAAAUAUGCCAGUUUAUCUUGAAUAAAUUCAUUAUUUAACAAGAAAGGCUUACAAUUAACAUACUGCUAUACAGGGGACAAUGAAAGUGUUAUGUCCUUUUUAGGUGACAAAAGAUCUAGCUUUAUGUUAGAUUUAAAAAGUCAAUUUCAGUGGAUGUGUCAGACCCAAAUACACAGGGGUAAGUUAUUUUACUCAUGUCAGUCUUCCAUGUAACAUACUGAUACUGCAUUAAAUUAUUUCUUGAGACUGGAAUGUAUUUCAAUGGCUUUUUGCCCAUGCUCUUCAGAUUUCCUGGAGCGUCACUACUUGGAUGUGACCACCUACUUUAACCAUGUGUGUCUUAUGAGGCACAUCCCUAACACUAGCUGUUGCCCUCCAUUCAGUUUGUGCGUACAUCUCCCUCUUAUUGUUGAAAUGAUAAAAGGUAGAACAAAUCUGAGAAGUAUGUUAGUUUACCCACAGAAACUAUUUGGCUCAGUAUUCAGUCCAUCAGCUGUCAGCACUGAACUAUAUAAUUUACCCUUGCUAAGACACUGAAUGAGGGGUGUUUAAAACCUGACAGCUACUGCUUAUUUCAUUGGAAGAGGCUGGUGUAAAUGGAUCCCCACCUCAGGCGGGGAAAGUCAAAAGGGGGUUGUUUCCAUUGGACAUUCCUGUGCUGAAAAGAAGCUUUAACUGUUUUCCCUUUGGAAUCCAGGCAGCCGUACAAUAGAAACUAGGCACCAGCAACAUACCAGUGCUGCACUGCUCCUAGGCAACUGCUGUUUUUACCAGCAGACACCACCUUUUGUUGCAGAUAAAAUGCUGCUGGGAAAAUACUGCUUGUGAUUUUUUGCUUGUAAUUUUUCCAACUAUUGCUUUUCCAAAUGUUGCUGCAAACAGGCCACUACGGCAUUUUAAAGCAGCUUGCUUAAGCAGCCUCAAGGAGCAUAUCCGCACCUCCUUAAAUACAAUUGAUACAUUGGUCUCAGCUGUAAAAGAAAUUGUUGAUUAAAACCAAAAAUCCCAGAAAACACUUGUGGCUCCAAAAAGAUUGGUCCAGGGUUUGUGUUCACCAUUUCCAUCAGCAAGUGACUUUCAACAGAGCUUCUGGAAGUUGAAAGUGUGAAGAUCUGUCAUAAUACUUUUAAAAGUAAAGAAAAUAGAGUCUUAAAUUUCUUAGGAUUAUUCACCUGAAACAAGAAUAUCAUUCCGUAGAGCACACACUGCAUAUUCAGACUUGGUAAACUCUGGAAGUUUAGCCAGUGACUUCCACUCUCCUGUUACAGGAUCGUAGCACUCAGUAUAUGGCAAAUUAAACCCUCCAACUCGUUCACAGCCUCCAACAACAACUAUCACCUCAGAAUAACCAGUUGAUCUAAAAAAGCGAAAACAGAAAACUAAGAUAUAGAAGUUAUUUAUUAAUACAUGGAGGGAGGCCAAACAACACUGUUUUCAAAUAUACUAUGAAAUCAGAAAAUUUACUAUUUAAUGCAACAUUAACUUCUAUGGAAAAAAAAACAAAAGCACAAAAAACACCACUUAAACGGUUCCAGUUUUUCAGCGUUUCCAGGUGUCUCAUCAUAUAGCAGGUUACCACACCAGCAGGUUUUCCGUGUAAGUGGUAGAGUCACACUGCACAAUGUCCUCUGUAAAAAUCAAACAUUUAAAAAUACAAUAAGCCCUUACUCUUUAAUAAUAUUUUUCCUUUAACUGGGUAUGUAGAGGUAUCAGAAAAAGCUGAAGCAAGGCCUGUGCAAAUCUGGUGCAGAACUUCAAUACUGGAUCCUCCAUACUGAAAUGAUUUUGUUUUCCUGCUCAAUUUUAGAGAAUUUAUUAUAGUAGUGUACAUUGUGCAAGUAUUUAAAAAACCUACAAUACCUUCAAAACACUGUAGGGGAUUUCCUGAAAAAAGCUGAAGGCACAGCGUCAAAGGAAAAAAAGAAGUUAAAAAAAACGCACGUAGAGCUAAUACACAGUUAAAAAACCAAUGCAUCAAAAAGUGAUAAAGUAGCAUAGUGAUAGAAGGAAACAUGAAGGACCUGAAACAAAAUCUAAAACCUGAUGUGAAGAAUUAAACAGUCAGUAUACAGAAUUAAGCCUUUAAACUCUGUUCAAUACUCUCGUUCACCUUGUACUUGACUUCAUGGGAAAACCUGAUACCUCUGCAUUACACAUACUGUGUUUACAUAAGAACAGCAAAUCACAUUGUAUUUUAUUCAAUGUAAGAAUGUAAAAAUGUUGAGAAUCCAACAACCAUCUUCUAUAUAUAAAUCAAAUUAGGUCUCAAUCCUAUUCCUUCACUCAAAUUCAUAAUUUCUUAUAGGCAUUUACCAAAAUCCUCCCUUUUUGGGGCUUUUCCAAAUCAAAUAAGCAUGUACUGGUAAGACUAUUUCACAGAUUGCUGCCUAAUAAUCAACUAAAAAUGAAUGGAAGAUUGACUUUAUUUUUAGAAAUCCUUUUUGUCGUGUUGUGCUUUAACUUUGAUCCCCAUAUGAACACAGAUUUCAUUUACCAUUGCUGAUUUCUGUAGUCCUCUCUAGGAAAAAAAAAAAAGACUUGCAUUGCCUUGUGACUGCGUUUGAAAUAAAAGUGGCAUGAUCUGUCCACAGUCUUCCUAACGUAUUAAUUUAUAGACAUACUAACAAAUGUUGAUGACAUUUUCCCCAUUUUGAACUACUAAGAAAAAAAAAGUAGCUAUUCUAUCUCCUUGUCACCGCACGCUGUAAAUUAAAUACAUCUUUCUACUCAAAAUACUUAAGGCAAUGAUAAAUGGUAAUACAUAUCUUCAUUAUAUUAUUUUAUAGUGCAUCUGAGGAAGUACAUUUACAAACCUCAGCUAGUCAGAAGAAAAACAACUGCUCAGAUGCUGGUGUGUUCACUGAUACUACAUUAUCUGCUUUUCUGAGGGGCAACUUUGGAAAGGCUCCUUCCAAGGGUAACGGGAAGAACCCUCUGCACCUGCAAAGCACUGCUCAGAAAAGGGUUUCCUUAACAGCAAGAUACUCAGCUCCCCACUUCCCUUACAGGCAAGCCCAACUACACCACCUAAACAUAUAUACAAAAGAGGUUUGUCUCCCGCUUACUUUUCAAGAUUAGAACCAAGGCCUCCACUUACUGUAAAGCCUACUGUAUGGGAUUGUUAACCUUUUAAAAACAAAUAAACUGCAGUCUUCGGUUGGAAAGGUCUCCUCGUGAAUUGCAAAGAGAAGUUCUGCUCUUCAAAGGAAGUAACAAUUUCAUGCAAUAUUCUAAAUCCACAGAUGGACAAAAAUUUUUAGUAUCUAGAUAGCCAUAUCCUUUCUUUAGAAAUAUUUUCUCUGCUGCAUUUUCUUGAAAGUCUUGCAUUGUAGAGCUUUUGAGGUUACUUCUGAACUAUUUUUUGCAGAUGAUAGAGGGCACAUCAGUUAAAAAAAUAAAAAUGCACAGAAUACACAUAAAGAAUUUACAGGCAAAAGCUAAUUCCAGGGUGGGGGGGAAAAAAGCUAUGGACAGAUGUAAAUGAAGAUUUGAAGAAGAUGGGAUUCUCAAAGAAGCUCUGAUCUCAACCAGUGGUAUAAGAAGUCGUUCUUGUAGCCCUGAGAAGAAAUACUGUGAGACUAGUAAUAGAGGUGAGCUAAAACAAAUGCCAGAGAGAUUGCAGAAAAAUUUUAACCUCAGGAGACCAAUUACAAAGAUUUGAGGAUUUUGGUAAAUCACUGCUUUUCUUCUGUUAACUCACUUUUGUGUAGCAAAUGCGAUAACAGACAGAAAUGUAAAGUGAAAUAAAAAAGUCAUCUCCUUUGCGGGAAAAAUAAGGAACCACAUAAAAACUUUUUUUAAAAGCAGCUAGAAAGGACGUGUUCACAUGUAUAAAUACAGUAACUUAUAACCAAUUAAAGUGGACACUAGUAUGUUUUGAUCAGACAUCCUUAAAGGAAUUGUAUGAUGAAGGAACUCGCAACAUUAUGAACAUUUAAAGAUAUUCAAAGCAUAAAGAAUUAAGUGCCUGUUUUGUUUUGCAUAUGGAGAUUUGUUAUUGCCCACUGCUUGAUCUUGGCUUGGAGAUUUGCUAUGCAACCCCAGCAGUAGAGGCCAAGAGAGGCUUAAGAGGAGUGUGAGAGACAACCUCAAGAUGUCACUGUGUCAUUGCAAGUGCACAACUGAAGCGACCUUCCAGAGGCCUCCUGCAUUUGUCAGUGAUGCCCAGUGGCACACGACGAAGAGCAGCCAGGCAACUGUUAUCCCACACUUUAACUUUUAGUUCAUGUAACUCUUCAUUGGCUUCAAAAAAAAAAAAAUAAAACCCAAGAAAACAACACUGAAAUUGCAGUCCACACUGUUCUUAAAAAAAGAGAGGAGGGUUUGAACAUACUUUAUCCAUAGAUGCAUACAUAGCCAUGUAAGAAACCACAAUUCACUUCCCAAAGUUUCAGUUAAAAAAAGUUUGGGAAUUCCUGAUCCUGCACCUUUCCUUUCCUGUCAGAAACAUCUUAUAUUAAAAAAAAAAGGGGGGGGGGAGCAAGAAAGAAAAGGGAAAGUGCUCUCAGAUGUCCCCUCCUCCCAACCCCCUCCAGAAAUGGCCAGAAAAAGUGUAGUAAAGACACGGGGGAAUGUGGUAGCCAUUUAAGAACAUGAUCUCUUUUUGCUACAGGCAGCAGAAACAAAUGACCCAGAACUAUUCCGUGAGUGUAAUAUAGAAAAGGGGAAAAAAUGCCUGCUGGGAGGCCAGCCAGUUCUUCUCUCUAUAAAUUACUUCUCUUGUUGCUGCCUACUCCAAUUCACAGUGCAGUUUAAGUUCAGCAGUAAAAGCCAACAAAAAAACCACCAAAACCUAAACAUAAAAUCCCCCACCAAGUUAUUUUAUUUAUAAAGUAGUUUGCUGAAGUGCUACAGUGAGGCUAUAGAGUUUCUCAAGUACAUAUACAUAUAUAUAUAUAUAUAUCACGUACUUAGACAGAACUGUUAGGUGUAAGUGUAUUUGCUUUAUCAAAUCAAGGAAUAAACUGAACCCCCCUGAAAUAGCAUCGAAAUCUACCUCCCCUCACAGACAUGCACACUCAAACGGACAAGGGAUUUGGUCUGAAUCCUCAGACCACCACGAUCCCCCCUCAGGCCCAGGCUUAGGGUAUGAAAUGCUUCAGAAAUAUGACAGCACCCAUUUCCACGGGCCACGGCGUGGGCGUUCCCAAAGACCCCUGCCUGGCAGCACACAGUUUUGAAGAGCUGGCAGCAGGGCAGCAAGGAGUUCAAGUUUCUUCUCUCAUGGACUAGACAGCAAGAUUAGAGACUGGAAAGCCACUGAGGGGGCAAAUGCUUGCCAAGUGCUUCUUCCCCUACAAGAAAGCUUGUAACACAUGCCAAAAAAGUGACUGUUCCCUGCACCAUCACUAUACAGCAAUCAGAUAUGACUAAGAAUAAACAAAAAGGAAUAGCUUGUAAGACGCUCUAACAGUUUGUCCAGACCAGAUCAUUGCAUCACUUUAACAUAACACGUGAUUUUAAAACUGCAGUUUAAAACAGGUUGAGUCAAUUAACAAUAAACUAUCAUGUGAAAGUAAGGCUUUUAUUGGGAAAAUAUUUUUCAGAAAGAAAAUUACCAUAACCAGCAUUGCCCAUAAAUGCUGCUAAUGGACUUUUCCUCAUUUCCUGCUGCAGCUUCCAGGCAUCAUUCCUACUUGCAUAAAGCAUUAUUAAGAAGUAGCAAUUGUGGAUUAUUACAAUGUCAUGGUAGAAGCAUAAAGUAUUUCAAGAACUGUUCCAUAAUUCUUUAAAAAUGCAAGAUUUAGUUACUUCCAGAAUAUGGUGUUUGGUGUUAGUCUAUUAUAAUUCUACACAGCAGAUCUGUAAAGCAGUUUGAGACGUAGCAAGUGCAUGUCCCGAAUGAAUAACCUCAUCCCUACUCUUUAUAAUGCUUUGUACACCUACACGAUUUUGUUAUAAGGAAGAAAGGAGGUUGGGAAAUGGAAUGGGUUACUUGUUGUGGCAUAAUAAAUUGUUUUUAAAAUGCUGCAGUUCAGUUGUGUAAAAUAACUUUAGAUUCAUGUAGCAAGCAUUAACAUUUAGAAAAUAUUUUACUUGCAAGGUAAAAUAAUUUCAUUUACAUGAGCAGUCUCAUGUAUCUCAUACCAGUAAAACGAUCUGUGCAAAAACCUGACCUAUUUACCUUUUCUAGACACAUAGGGGCUUGAGCUGUUGGGGGAAAGAGUACAGAAAUAUAACCAGAGUGCUCCAUAAUGUAAAAUAAAAUCAUUUUCAAAAGACA